rnacentral:lncRNA from 1 species
AAAUAAUCUAAAAUGUACAAUUUCAUUAACCGUAAAUGAAAUGUUUUCAUUAAUACAAAGUUGGUCAGACUAUAUACUUUUUAUGAGAGCAACUAAAAUAUAAGGAAGAUACAGAAAGGCUGAAAGAAAGGAAUUUAAAAAGAUGUAGCAUCCAAACCCUAACCAAAUGAAAGCUCAUAUUGCUCUAUUAAUAUUAGACAUCUUUUCCUUUAGGAUAAAAUGCAUGAUCGGUAUUAUCCUAGAUAAAGACAGACAAUUCAUAAUAAUAAAAGGUUUAAUUUUCCAGAAAGAUACAAUCAUUCUCAUGAUUUAUGUACACAGAAUAAUAUAGCUUCAAAAUAUAUAAAGCAAAAUGUUGUGGAAUAAAAAGGAUAAAAAGACAAAUUCAUACUCAUUGUGAGAUAUUUUAAUAUCUUUUUAUCAGAUAUUGAUAAAAUAAAUGGAUAAAUAUUUAUUAAGAAUAUAGAGGAAUACAGAAUGAAUAAUAUUCUGUAAUCAGCAAACUUGAACUAAUGAACAUAUGUAGAAGACUGCAUUUAAGAGCUGUAGAACACACAUCUUUUUAAGGAUGCUGUGACACGCUGACCAUAUGUUGAGCUGUUAAACAAGUCUGGAAAAUUUUCAAAGGAUAAAAAUUAGAUGUUUUUUUCACUUCAAUGCAAUUAAGCUAAAAAUCAAUAACAAAAAGAUAACCAGAAAAUUAUUUUGUGUUUGGAAAUUAAGCAGUACUUUUCUAAAGAACCUAUGGGACAAAGAAGAAAUCAUAAUGGAAAUUAGAAAAUAUUUUAAAAUACAUUAUUAUGAAAUAUUGUAUAUCAAAACUUGUGGAAUGCAGUUAAAGCCAUGCUUGGCAAAAAAUUAUAACCUUGAAGUUUAUAUUAGAAAAGAAUGAAGGCUAAAAAUCAAUGUGCUAAGAAUCUGUCAUAAAGUCUGGGGGGAGAAGAACAGGAAAAUCAAAGAAAGUAGAAGUAAGGAUACACAAGGAUACAAGCCAAAAAUAAUGACUUAGAAAAAUUAACACACAAAGGAGGCUGAAGAGGGCCAAAGAGCGGUUCUUUUAGGAGGUGAAUGAAGCUCAACUCCCUGGCAAGCCUGUUAGGGGAAAAAAGGAACUAAAAAGCUAAAAUAAUAAUCAGUGGUCAGGCACUAUGAAGCAAAUUUUUGCUAAUGAUCUUACCAUCAUUAAAAAGAUAAGUGAAUUAUGCCAAUAGGUUUGAAAAUGUAGCGGAAAUGGACAAAGUCCUAGACUCAUAGCAGGGGUUCUGCAAUGUUUAUUACGAUUGAGACCUUAACAGUUUAGACCCUGUAUUGCUCAUCCCAUGCUAUCCUCCGGAACUCGGUCUUGGAAAUGCCAGACUAAUGUGCAUGAGAGAGAGAAGCUUAGUGCAAAAUUCAGCAGGCAGGAAGGAUGUGGUCACCAUCUGACAAGAUCCUCAGGAGGCUUAGAGGCAGGAGGGGCCAUCUGCCCUGCCCCCUGUGGCCUCAUGGCUGCAUCCGCCGCUCCCUGGAUGGGGCUCGGGGGUACCUGGGAGCAUGAUCCGUCCUUAUACUCCUCUCACAUCAGUAUCUAAACUCAGAGUUUACAGAACAAGGGAAACUGCCUAGAAUGAGGCUUGUAUUCCUAGGGGCAAGGGCUUUCGCCCACCCUCACACAGUUUAAUGUCACCUGCCUCCAGAUUGUGUUAACACAGAGCCUCUGCACAGCCUCCUUCGCGGUGGCCUCAGACAUUUCCGGAAUUAGUUGUCAGAGGGUAGGCCCCCGCGCAAUGCCAGCUUGCAGAGUGCAGAACUGGGAGCCACCAGGACAUUGUGUUUCUCCAAAGAGCGGUGCAGGCCCGGGCAGCGACCUCUUGCUGUUCAGCAAAAAGCAAACAUUCAAAGCAGUCCCUGCGGGCUCAGCGUGGCGACCAUGAGCGCACGUUUGUGUGCCGGCUGACUCUCCUCCUCGCAUAGGAGGACCAGGGCGCAUUGGUGGCGGUGGGAGUAGGCACUCUGCAGAGCUGCUGGCCCGAGCUCCACAUUCAGCCUCAAGUCGCACUCUUUGUACUGGAUGUUUUCAGAAAAACAGCAGACCAUGCCCUAACAGCCUUAAUGAGCCUUGUAACUGCAUCUGCUCUUAACAGUAAAAAUUAGUGCUGAACAAUGGGACCCUCACUCAUGGGGCUACUGUGGUCUGGCAGUCAGGACGGGUGGGUGGUCCUCGCUGCCACUCACCCACCCGAGAAGGGGACUAUUUUUAGACUAUGCUUCAUUUUCCCCUAAAUACAGUAUUUAAACCACCGUGGUCAGAGUUGGUCUGCUUUUACAGCCCUCUACUUUUUAUUUUCAUCUCCAUAGUGAGUGAGGGAUAUUGAUUCUUUCCCAAAUGCUCACUCUAGUACGAAACGUUCUUUUUUCCUUUUCUUUUCUUUUUUUUCCAAUUCAUGUAAAACAGUAAUAUAGGAACACCUGCUAUGUGCAAGUCAUAUCAAAGUACCUGAUUUUUAUAUCUCCUCAUCCAGGGGUGCCUCCUCCAUCAGUGGAGGCUGGUGGGUUCAGAGUGGUGCAUGAUACAGAUCUUUGCAGUAAGAAGAGCUGCACUGAAAUCCAGCCUCUGCCACCUCCCCAUUGCGGGGCCUUGGAUGCAUCACCAAAGGCUCUGAAAUCCGCUUUGCUCAUCUGCAAUGGAUGGAUGUAAUUGCUUUAGGUCAGACUGAGCCCCCAAAAAGCCACCACUGGAGUAUGACCUGCAAGCAAAACUUCUCACCCAACACAGUCAUCAACAUCAUUCUGCCUUUUCCCUUAUCUGUGCAAUGGACACCAGAAUGGAAUCAAGUCUACUGAGGACAUUUACAUGUUUGGCUGGUGUGGUUGUGAAGAGUGAGUGGAGGGCAAUUUGAAAUUCUGAUUAAAUUAUUCGUCUUCUGGGAUUUUUUAGAGCAAAAUCAUAGGCAUGGGCAAACAUACAUGGGGCUAUCCCUCGAAGCAUGUUUCCAGGAGUAAAACUGGAAAUGGUCUGGAAUGUCGACAAAAAGAGAAUUGGUUAAAUAAGCAAUGGUAUUUUCAUUUUAUAUCAUUCUAUGGAAACAUUCAAAUUACUUGGUAGAAAACUGUGUCAUGCUAAUAGAAAUGCGUUCACUGUACAUUAAGUGAAAACACAGCAUGUUUAAAAAAUUAUGUUAUACAACAGAAUGCUAGUAAAGCACUUAGCACUUUGCCUGGCUCUGGAAGUGUUAGCUAUCAUCAUCUUUAAAAGCAUAAUCUCAGAUUUGAGAGAAGCAGUUAUAAUUAAUGAAAGAAAAGAAUAUAUUACAAUUUCAAGUGGUUAUCAAUGAGUAGAAGGAUCAUGGAUUUGUGUGUCUUUCUUUGUGAUUUUGAAUUUUGUGAAUUGUCGGUCAUGAACUAGUACUUUUACUCUAGAGUAACAAAAGAAUCUUACUGAAAGCUGCUAACUUGUCCUACCACCAUCAGGGUCUUAGACAAAGCCCUGUGCUGGGAAGCAGGAGAUGGACCAACCCUUCCCUGUACCUCUGAGCUAUGAGUUUAGGUAUUUCCCUUCAGCUCUCUAGGCUUUGUUUACCCUUUUGGGGAUAAUAGCUGACUUUUUAAGGUUAGGGGAUACUUGCUUAUGCUGACAUUUGGGAGAAUUUUCAUUCAUAAUAAUAAAGAUAGUUCCACAUCAUGAGCCCCUAGUAGAUGCCGCCGUAUAUCCAUGAUAUCCUCAGCAGUAUCUGAUGGGUGAGGAGACUUAGGUUUGGAGACAUGAAACGACUUACCCAAGGUGACACAGACAGAAAGUGACCACCCCAGGACUUGGACAGGUCUAUCCAACCCCAGGACCAGUCAACUGCCUUAACAGAGGAAACUGGCCCCAGGGGAUUUUUCUUGUAAUCCAGCUGAAGCAUGUGACUUCUAUCCAGGAUGGGCUAAAAAGAAAAGUGUGCGAUGGGGUAGGGUGGGAGUUUGGGGUUAUGGCUUUCCGGAGCCUGAGAGAGUGAGGCACAAGUGGAUCUAGUGUCCCCAAUCAACCCCAGACCUCAGCAUCCACACGUGGGAUAGAGGAGCAGCCCAGGGCUGGUCCUGGGUGAGAUUUCUGCCUCAGAGGGAGAGGUCCUCAUUGCUGGCCUUUGGUGAGGAAGCAUUCUCAUGAAAGCCACUUGACCCUGAGGGCUGGGAAGCUGAGGGCACUGAGUCGGUGUCUGGGGAGGGUGUGGAGUACACCUGGGCUCUUUCCAUGGGCUCUGUGAGUUGCUGCCAAGCCCAGGGGACAGGCUUAUGCAGAUGUGUUCUAGGUAAAGCUGAACCAUGCCCCCGAAAUCCUCGUCCCAGAAAAUUGUCUGGGUCAGGAUUCUCUAAAUCCAACCGAUAUCACCUCACCUCGCUUAAUUCUAGACCAUAAUACAAAAAGUGAGCCGAUGCCCCUGCUGCGGGGAGCUUGCGCUCACGAACAAGGUCCGUUUUGGGGAAAGGCCUCACUCCUAUGUCCCAGCUGGACAGUAGCACGGGAGCCCCAUCUAGCUAUCAGUUCUGGCAGCCUUCCUUUGGAUUACAAGCUUAGGACAACCGCAAUGCUUCCACCCUAUGCUUGGUGCGAAAGUUUUCAAAACAGAGAGAAAUAGGUCUCUGCGCUGUUUCUUUUCCCCUCCGGCACCCCUUCGGUGGGAGACAGUUGAUGUCUUUUUGAGGUGGGGCUGAGUGGGCCCUCCCUGCUCCUCAGCAGCUCCAGCGACCACCCUAGACGUGCUAGGGAGAUGACACCCUGAGCCCUGCUCAGAAGGGGGCACCACUUGCGAGUAGGCCCUGACCAACAGGAGAGAGAGCCUUUGCCCAGACCACGCCUGUGUGUCUCCCCCAAAUUCACAGAAAGAAAAGGACGCGCAGUCGCUUAGCGAUUACUAAGCCCAGACACAGGAGAGGGAAUCCUAGCCCUGCUCCUCCCCCAGUCCUUCGCAGUCUCUCCUUGUCUGUAAGGAGGUGUGGCCUGACGGCUUUACAUCUGACUCUAAAACUCACAGGUCAAGGAAAAACUCUGUGAUGUGCGGUGGGGCGAUUUGCCGGCAGCCGGCGGCAUCCUCGCCUCGGGCCUGUUUAGAACCCAGAGCUGGCCUUCUUCAUUUGACACCUGUCUCACGCAGAAGAGCCGGCGGGGCCACAAGGGAGCUCCUGGUACAGACUGCUCUAUAAAGCAUAGACACUCGGGGAGGGGAGGGGCGGCAAAUUCCCACCUACAGGAGAGGUGCGCUCUCCGGGUUUGGUCCUUCUCCACACCCACCCUUUCUGGGCCAUGCUCCAGUUAAAACCACAUGUAAAAGCACAGGCUGUGGUGGCCCGGCAGAGAGAUGGAGAAGGGGGCUGGUGACCUCCCUCCCAGAGCCCAUGGGCAGGCCACAGGUUCACCUGCCGGAGUCAGACUUCACGGGCUCUCUCCAGCCCAGAAGAAAGGAGUGCAAAGCAAAUCUGCCGUAGAAAUAUUCUUAAAGUUAAGUCCUCAAAGCAAAUUCAGAAUUCAUUAUUUUGGGUACAUGUAAAUAUGUAUUUGCUGCUUAACCUGUGGUUCAACCUUUGCACUUUUAUACAUUCUAAAAUUUUUUAGUUUAUGCAAAAAUCAGUGUAAUCAGGAUCCUGUAGAAAUGUAAUUAAAUUUUGUUAAGUUUACAAGGUUUUGUUUUUCUCAGAUCUAAACUUCCUGAGUCACACUCUGCAUUUGAGACUCAGAAUCCCCUGUUUCUAAAUGGCAUAUUUAGGUAAAUUGAAAAUAACGACAAUGCAUCUAUUCAACAUUAAGAAAUGCACAAUCUUUUUACAAAGCAAAAUUUGUCAUAUAUACCACAUAUGAAAUGUCACGAAACUCAGACAACUGUUUUGCUUUUAACUAAGCUGUUAUUACAGCGUGAGCUACAAAGCUAUAUAUCUUCAAUUCAGCAAGAGUUACAACACAGUGCAAUUGUGAUAUCUGACAAAUAAUUACUCACUCUGUUUUAAAUAUUAAAGUGCAUUACCUAUCACGCAAAUCACAUGAAUCUGAUUUUAAUCCACAAUUGAAAUCUUGACAUUGAGGACAGAAUUUAAUAUAUUUUCAGUCUUCAACUGUUUAAAGAUCAGAUUUCUAAGUGUCACAAUAGUUUUUUAAGAGGCCAUAUGAAAAUUACAGAAUCUUCACAUAAUCAUUCAGUUGUUAACAUUACUGUGAGCAGCAGCAUCUCAGGGCUCACACACAGCCACACCGGGGAGUUAAUGCGGUCUGCCUUUGUUAGAGGCACUGGGGCUCGCAUUGUGAGCAUCUCGUGCUGAGAUCACCUGCUGAGAUUAAAGCAAAUUAAAUUCCCUGGGAAAAGCGAUUUUUGAAAAAUUAUAUAGAAGGAAGACUACUGUAAACUGGUGUACAUUUUCCUCCUUCUCUCACUCAAAAGUCCAUGGGGGGCCGGGUGAGGUGGCUCAUGCCUGCGAUCCCAGCACUUUGGGAGGCUGAGGUGGUCAGGAGUUUGAGACCAGCCCGGCCAACAUGGUGAAACCUCAUCUCUACUAAAAAUGCAAAAAUUAGCCAGCCGUGGUGGUGCACAUCUAUAAUCCCAGCUACUUGGGAAGCUGAGGCAGGAGAAUUACUUAAACCUGGGAGAUGGAGGUUUCAGUGAGCCGAGAUUGCACUAAUGCACUCCAGCCUGGGCAGUAGAGCCCUAUUCCGUCUCAAAAACAAAACAAAACAAAACAAAACAAAACAACCUGUUUUUUUUUUUAAGUCCAUGGGGGUGAGGGAGGGAAAUGUAGAACAUGCACAAUUUCAAAGAUAAAAGUGCUUUAUUAGAAUCAAGAAAAUGUCCUCAUUGCAGAUGAUCUGGCAAGUAAGCCUGAAGGCAGCUGUGUUUGUGGUGACCGUCACCCUUUCAUCUGCUUCCGUGUCCACUGCUCCUGGAGGCAGAAACCUGACUAUUCCCACUUUUAUUGCAUUCCUCCUUCUCUGGUGCCAGCUCACCCACCAGUCCUGGACACUGAUGUUUUGUGACCGAUGGCACUGUUUCUAAUUCUAACCUCCCUCAGCUCCCCACUGCCCUGCCCCACGAGCUGUCACCCACCACUUGAUCUGAACCUGAGACCACUGCUAUCUCCAGGAACUCGCUUGGUGGAUGAGAAGCAAGUCUGCCUAGCACACUGGGUCCAGGUGACAGAGGCUUAAUCACAAGAAUGCGGACAAGCCGAUGAUGAAGUCUUUUUGUGGCAAACAUUGACAGGACCUUUCAAAUUUUCGAAAAGGAGUAAUGAAAAUCAAAAGCUCAAACUAAAACUGUCUUCUGUAGAGAGACUGAUAUGGGAAGGAAGUCCCUUCAGUGUGUGUCUGGAGAGACAGGGCGUGCCCUGUCCUGGUCCCCACCCUACAUACCUUGAUGAGCGUCUCCUCGGCUCACACUACCGUGACAAGCAGUGCACAGACGCGGAAUCCCAGCCUAGACCCGUGACCCAGGCGAAAAUAGGCACACGCCGGCCUGGAGCUCCACACAGCCUGGUUUUUGUCACUGGAAUGCUCCAUGGGGUUCUGUGAGUUGUUACAUUUUGCCUCACUUUCUGAAAAUGAUUUUUAUUUUAAAGGCGGAAGGAAAAAAAGCAUAUUAUUUUAAAAGGAUAGUGGUGAAUCUUCUGAAGUAAUAAUUCUUGCCCAAAGUGAUAAUCACUCCUGAUUUUUUUAGUUUUAUCGGUUUGAAAUCUCUAACAUUAGAUUUUCUUAAAUCGUGUUGUGGUGAAUAAUUUCAAGCUGGUAGACCAGCAAGGAGGACCAUGAGGCGGGGACCUGAGCUCUGAAAAUAGGACCUGUAGUUAUAGUAGUCUUCAUAAGAAAAUUAGUUUACAUCUAGAUCUUUACUGCCUACUGCAGUGUCUACCAGCCAUGUGUGCCUUCUUAAAUUAAAGUCACUUAAAACUAAAUAAUAUUCAGAAUUCAGUCCCUCAGUUGCACUAGUCACAGUUCAAAUGCUCAAUUGCCACAGUGAUCAAAUAAUAAUAAAUAAUAAUACAGUUGGUAGAGCUUUUUAAAUAAGUUACCAUCUAAAUUGGGCAGUUCUAUACUAAAUAUUUGCCAACUAACAUUAUAUAUUCCAAAAUAUGUACAGUAACAUUGAAAUUUUAAAACCUCCCUACUUAGUGAAUUGUGUACUUUUAAAACUAUAUAAAAACACAAGUUUGGAAUGAUUCAGUAGGUGUUUGUUUGGCGUGAUUCUCAUUAUUUUGUUUCAUAUCUCUUACAGAAAAAAGCAAGCUUGAUUUUCCAUAUCUUCAGUAGUUUCUCAUUGCCAAAAUCUAAAUGUGAACGCAUAGAUUAGAUGUCUGCACUAAUGUGUGUACACACACACACAACCACACACACAUUACUGAAGUACACUUGUAUUAGAUGUCACUUGCUGUAAGGAUUAUUAUUCUUGGACUUCAAGGUCAAUGAGUCAGCUGAUUGCUUUAUUGAAAUGGACUUUCCAAAUCCAUCACUUUCAGUGAUAUCUGUCAUCAAAUAUAAAGUGUAGGUCAUCUUCUUUAAAAAUCUUGCAAACUUGGCAGACUGGAAAAUAGCCAGUCUAUGUCUUUUCUCACUCAGUGAAACUAAGAAAGCAACUGCCUUCCAUUAAAAAAAAAAAAUCCUAUUUUUACUGAUUAGCUCACUUUAAGAAUUUCUUCAGAUUAUGUAUAAUUUCAGAUGUCUUCUAUGCUUUCUUUGAAAAAAAUAUUGUUUGAGACUCAUGAAAUAAUCUCGUAUCAAGAGGACCAGUGCCCCACUGGCCCAGUGGAGGGGGAGUGAGAUGGAAGUGGAGGUGGAGCCAUCCUCUGUCCACACCUUUUUUUUUUUUUUGAGACGGAGUCUGGGUCUGUCGCCCAGGCUGGAGUGCAGUGAUGCGAUCUCGGCUCACUGCAAGCUCUGCCUCCUGGGUUCACGCCAUUCUCCUGCCUCAGCCUCCCGAGUAGCUGGGACUACAGGCGCCCGCCACCACACCCGGCUAAUUUUUUGUAUUUUUAGUAGAGACGGGGUUUCACCAUGUUAGCCAGGAUGGUCUCUAUCUCCUGAUGUCGUGAUCCGCCCGCCUCAGCCUCCCAACGUGCUGGGAUUAUAGGCGUGAGCCACCGUGCCCGGCCUGUCCACACCUUUAAUGCAGUUGACUUAAGUUGUGUUCAGGUGUUUAAGCAGAAGCAAGGAAUCUGGCUCCAACAUUGGUGGAAAAUAGCCUUCUAUUUAGAGGCAAUACAACAAAGAAAUUCUGAGCAUCUAUGUCUUCCAGGAAUUGCAGUUGGUGUGAAUAUCAUGUAGUUGGGCCUCAGAGACAAACACCAGGUUAAUCCUCAAGGACAGACAGGAAGCAAGUGUGUCUAGUAGUAAAGAGGGAGGUUCUAGGCUUGGAUGGACCAGCCACUUAACAGGUGGGAUAUCGUGGCAUGUUACUUCAUCUUUCAAUCCCUAAUUUCCUCAUCUGUGAGAGGGAGAUAAUAAAAGUACCUAAAUGUCACUGUGUCAUUGUAAAGAUGAAAAGAAUUCACUUAUGUAAAACGCCUAUGACAGUGCCUGGAACAGCAAAUACUCAAUACAUUGUGCUGUUUGCUGUGACUUUUAAAUAUAGUGUCAUUACUUUUUGUCAUUCAUUUUAUUUUUUAAUUCUUUAUUGAUAAAAAUACAUGUACAUAUUUUAGGGAUGCAUGUGAUAAUUUCAUACAUUCAUAAAAUCAAAUCAUGGUAACUGGCAUAUCCAUCACCUAAACAUUUAUCUUUUCUUUAUGCUAGGAACACUUCAAGUAUUCUCUUCUAGUUAUUUUGAAAUGUACAACUGGUUAAUGUUAACUGUGGCAUCCUACUCAUCUGAACACCAGGUCUCAUUUCUUCCAUCUCACUGUAUAUUUGCACACAUUAAUCUAGUUGUGUCAUUAUUAUUUCCACAAGCUCAUCACUCUGCCAUGUGUGGAGUUUCCCUGCCCCUUCUCAAAAAUGCGAGAAAGACACACUGGUGAGGUCUGGCAAGGGCCACACACUUUGGCAGGAUAGAGACGGGUUCUGGACUUUUGCCUACCCCUCUUCAUAGCUUGCCAGAUAUGACAAAGAAUCACAAUGACUACUGUGUCUGUCAAAUUUUGUACUGAUAUGUUAGGCACAAAAACAUAAUACAAUCUGUAUUUAAAUGCAAUGGCUUCUGAAAUGCAACCUUGAUUAUUAAGCCAAUAAAUUGUUGAAGAGUUUUGGCCCAGACAUAGUGAAAGUGUGUUAAGCUCCAGGGAUGUGUACAACACAGGAUUAGGAGACACAAAAGAAGGGUUAUAAGAAUCACUCUCAAUUUGCAUGUGUGAACACUCUCCUUUUAAAUAGUAGAAUUAAUACUACCAAAUAUCAUCUUUGUGGAUGUGAAGAAUAAAUAAGUCAAUACACAUAAAGUCGUUAGCAUGGCCCCUGAAACAAAUUGAGUGCAGAGUGUUAGCCCUUAUAGUGAUAAUUAUUAUUCAACUAUAACAAGGAUUUCUUAUAGCCAGUAGUAAUUACAAAUUAUUCAAACUUAAGGCUGGGUGUGGUGGUGCGCACCUGUAGUCCCAGCUACUCGGGAAGCUGAGGCAGGAAAAUCGCUUGAACCCGGGAGGCGGAGGUUGUAGUAAGCCAAGAUUGUGCCACUGCACUCGACUCUGGGUGACAGCGAGACUCCAUCUGAAGAAGGAAAAAAAAAAGAAAAGAAAAAAAUUAUUCGAACCUAGAAAGCAAAUACUAGACAAAGCCUUUCACAUUUCAAGCUUUUCCUUGUCAGUGAAAAUCUGCCCAAGAACAAAGUUCUGGACAAGGAAUCACGACUCCAAGUUCAUGUUCUGGGUCUGCCGCUCCCUGGCUAAUGACUUUGCCCGGUCAGAGCUUGUCCGGGGCCUGGGCUUCCUGGUCAGUGAAGUGAAUGCUUGCAAAGUCCUUUCCAGCUUAAGAAUCUGGACGCUACCAGUACAUCUAACAGGUUUAUUUAAAAUGAAAAAUUCUGAGCAUGUUAUGUUUUAUGUUGAAAAGUACACAUAAAAUAGCUGACUUUUAAAAAUAAAUAUUUUUUAUUUAUGUAAAUCCAUGUCUAUACAACUGCAAACUUUUGAUCUCUAAGUUCUUUUUUGGAACACACGCUUUGAUGGAUUUCAAUAAACAUGAAUACAUUUUUUAAAAUCUUACAUUUAUAAAGUUUACAAAGCACCUAAAU